rnacentral:rRNA from 1 species
AUUGAACGCUGGCGGCAUGCUUUACACAUGCAAGUCGAGCGGCAGCGCGGGGGCAACCCUGGCGGCGAGCGGCGAACGGGUGAGUAAUGCAUCGGAACGUAUCCUCGAGUGGGGGAUAACCCAGCUUAAGUUGGGCUAAUACCGCAUGAGCUCUGAUGUUGAAAGCGGUGGAUCUGCGAUGGCCUCGCGCUGUAGUAGCGGCUGAUGUCCGAUUAGCUAGUUGGUGGGGUAAAGGCUUACCAAGGCGACGAUCGGUAGCUGGUCUGAGAGGAUGAUCAGCCACACUGGGACUGAGACACGGUCCAGACUCCUACGGGAGGCAGCAGUGGGGAAUUUUGGACAAUGGGGGAAAGCCUGAUCCAGCAAUGCCGCGUGAGUGAAGAAGGCCUUCGGAUUGUAAAGCUCUUUCGGACGGAACGAAAUGGGCGGGACUAAUACUCCUGUCUGAUGACGGUACCGUAAGAAGAAGCACCGGCUAACUACGUG